GUGAGUAACACGUGGGCAAUCUGCCCUGCACUCUGGGACAAGCCCUGGAAACGGGGUCUAAUACCGGAUGACACUUUCUCUCGCAUGGGAGAAGGUUGAAAGCUCCGGCGGUGCAGGAUGAGCCCGCGGCCUAUCAGCUAGUUGGUGAGGUAGAAGCUCACCAAGGCGACGACGGGUAGCCGGCCUGAGAGGGCGACCGGCCACACUGGGACUGAGACACGGCCCAGACUCCUACGGGAGGCAGCAGUGGGGAAUAUUGCACAAUGGGCGAAAGCCUGAUGCAGCGACGCCGCGUGAGGGAUGACGGCCUUCGGGUUGUAAACCUCUUUCAGCAGGGAAGAAGCGAAAGUGACGGUACCUGCAGAAGAAGCGCCGGCUAACUACGUGCCAGCAGCCGCGGUAAUACGUAGGGCGCAAGCGUUGUCCGGAAUUAUUGGGCGUAAAGAGCUCGUAGGCGGCUUGUCACGUCGGUUGUGAAAGCCCGGGGCUUAACCCCGGGUCUGCAGUCGAUACGGGCAGGCUAGAGUGUGGUAGGGGAGAUCGGAAUUCCUGGUGUAGCGGUGAAAUGCGCAGAUAUCAGGAGGAACACCGGUGGCGAAGGCGGAUCUCUGGGCCAUUACUGACGCUGAGGAGCGAAAGCGUGGGGAGCGAACAGGAUUAGAUACCCUGGUAGUCCACGCCGUAAACGGUGGGAACUAGGUGUUGGCGACAUUCCACGUCGUCGGUGCCGCAGCUAACGCAUUAAGUUC
rnacentral:rRNA from 1 species